CCGCCCGUCACACCAUCCGAGUUGGGGGUACCCGAAGUCGCUUGUCUAACCUGCAAAGGAGGACGGUGCCGAAGGUACGCUUGGUAAGGAGGGUGAAGUCGUAACAAGGUAGCCGUACCGGAAGGUGCGGCUGGAUCACCUCCUUUCUGAGAGAAAGG
rnacentral:rRNA from 1 species